AGGUCGGAACCAUCAAGCCGAAGGCUUGAUUUUAAAUGUUCCGACCGACCUGCCGCCGACCGAAAGGGAGGGGGCGAUACAAU
rnacentral:sRNA from 1 species